CCUACGGGUGGCAGCAGUGGGGAAUAUUGGACAAUGGGGGCAACCCUGAUCCAGCCAUGCCGCGUGUGUGAAGAAGGCCCUCGGGUUGUAAAGCACUUUCAGUGAGGAAGAACGCCUGGUGGUUAAUACCCAUCAGGAAAGACAUCACUCACAGAAGAAGCACCGGCUAACUCCGUGCCAGCAGCCGCGGUAAUACGGAGGGUGCGAGCGUUAAUCGGAAUUACUGGGCGUAAAGCGCGCGUAGGUGGCUUGAUAAGCCGGUUGUGAAAGCCCCGGGCUCAACCUGGGAACGGCAUCCGGAAAUGGCAAGCUAGAGUGCAGAAGAGGAAGGUAGAAUUCCCGGUGUAGCGGUGAAAUGCGUAGAGAUUGGGAGGAACACCAGUGGCGAAGGCGGCCUUCUGGACUGACACUGACACUGAGGUGCGAAAGCGUGGGUAGCAAACAGGAUUAGAUACCCUUGUAGUC
rnacentral:rRNA from 1 species